rnacentral:tRNA from 1 species
GGGUGUGUAGCAUAGUGGUUAAUGUGCCUGACUGUCAAUCAGGAGAUUGGAGUUCAAUUCUCCCACAUCCUGCCA